UAGGGAAUAUUGCAUAAUGGGCGAAAGCCUGAUGCAGCAACGCCGCGUGUGCGAUGACGGCCUUCGGGUUGUAAAGCACUUUUAGAAGGGAUGAGGAAGGACAGUACCUUCUGAAUAAGCCUCGGCUAACUACGUGCCAGCAGCCGCGGUAAAACGUAGGAGGCGAGCGUUAUCCGGAUUUACUGGGCGUAAAGCGCGUGCAGGCGGUUUGGUAAGUUGGAUGUGAAAGCUCCUGGCUUAACUGGGAGAGGUCGUUCAAUACUACCAGACUUGAGUGUGGGAGAGGGAGGUGGAAUUCCGGGUGUAGUGGUGAAAUGCGUAGAUAUCCGGAGGAACACCAGUGGCGAAAGCGGCCUCCUGGCCCAAUACUGACGCUCAGACGCGAAAGCUAGGGGAGCGAACGGG
rnacentral:rRNA from 1 species